rnacentral:rRNA from 1 species
CCUACGGGGGGCAGCAGUGGGGAAUAUUGGGCAAUGGGCGCAAGCCUGACCCAGCAACGCCGCGUGAAGGCAGAAGGCUUUCGGGUUGUAAACUCCUUUUAGGAGGGAAGAGCAGAAGAAGGUACCUCUUGAAUAAGCCACGGCUAACUACGUGCCAGCAGCCGCGGUAAUUCGUAGGUGGCAAGCGUUGUCCGGAUUUACUGGGUGUAAAGGGCGUGUAGCCGGGCUGACAAGUCAGAUGUGAAAUCCCGUGGCUCAACCACGGAACUUCAUUUGAAACUGUCUGUCUAGAGUAUCGGAGAGGCAGGCGGAAUUCCUAGUGUAGCGGUGAAAUGCGUAGAUAUUAGGAGGAACACCAGUGUCGAAGGCGGAUUACUGGACGAUAACUGACGGUGAGGCGCGAAAGCGUGGGGAGCAAACAGGAUUAGAUACCCCUGUAGUC